CUGGGUGGCCAUGGCGACGGGGCCCACCCCUUUCCAUUCCGAACAGGGAAGUUAAGCCCGUCUGCGCCGAUGGUACUGCCUCACAAGGGUGGGAGAGUAGGCCGCCGCCUUUC
rnacentral:rRNA from 1 species